rnacentral:rRNA from 1 species
UUCUGACCGUUGCAAAGGUAGCGUAAUCACUUGUUUUUUAAUUAAAGACUAGUAUGAAUGGCCUAACGAGGACUCAACUGUCUCCUUUAUCUAAUCAGUGAAAUUGAUCUCCUCGUGCAGAAACGAGGAUAAACCCAUAAGACGAGAAGACCCUAUGGAGCUUUAAACUUUAAUCAACCACUUUUUUCCCAUAUCCAAGGAACUAACCCCAAAUUUUGUAAGAUUUAUUAAAGUUUUAGGUUGGGGCGACCACGGAGAAAAAUAAACCCUCCAUGAUGAUUUUAAACCGAGAGCCACAACUCUAAAUAUUAAGUCCCUUAACUUCCAUUGACCCACUUUGUGACCAACGAACCAAGUUACCCUAGGGAUAACAGCGCCAUCCAUUUCAAGAGUCCCUAUCGACAAGUGGGUUUACGACCUCGAUGUUGGAUCAGGGCAUCCAAGUGGUGCAACCGCUACUAACGGUUCGUUUGUUCAACGAUUAAAGCCUUACGUGAUCUGAGUUCAGAACCGGAGAGA